UAUGUAAUUACUGUCUCAUUUGUAUUUAUUUAAAUUUACUUAGUAGGUGAAAAUUCCUAUUAACAAAAAGCAGGACGAUAAGACCCUUAGAAUUAUUAAAUAAGUGAUAAACCAAAAUAUAUCAUACAUUUUUGUUGGGGCGACAUAUUCUCAUAUAACAUAAUACACAUUAUUUUUACAAGACUAUUAUAAUCCGUAAGAAUUAAUUACCUAAGGGAUAACAGCAUAAUAUUAAUAUAUGUUUAUGACCUCGAUGUUGGACUAGGUAAAUUUAUAGCUAGAAGUUAUAAAUACUUGUUCUGUUCGAACAUCUAACACCUACAUGAUCUGAGUUCAGACCG
rnacentral:rRNA from 1 species